AUUGAACGCUGGCGGCAGGCCUAACACAUGCAAGUCGAACGAGUGGCGGACGGGUGAGUAAUGUCUGGGAAACUGCCUGAUGGAGGGGGAUAACUACUGGAAACGGUAGCUAAUACCGCAUACCAUCAGAUGUGCCCAGAUGGGAUUAGCUAGAUGGUGGGGUAACGGCUCACCAAGGCGACGAUCCCUAGCUGGUCUGAUAGGAUGACCAGCAACACUGGAACGGGGAAACGGCCCAGACUCCGACGGGAGGCAGCGGUGGGGAAUAUUGCACAAUGGGCGCAGGCCUGAGGCAGCCCUGCCGCGUGUAUGAAGAAGGCCUUCGGGUUGUAAAGUACUUUCAGCGGGGAGGCGUUACCCGCAGAAGAAGCACCGGCUAACUCCGUGCCAGCAGCCGCGGUAAUUC
rnacentral:rRNA from 1 species